rnacentral:tRNA from 1 species
GGCUGUGGCUCAGUUGCAGAGCACCAGCUUUGCAUGCAAAAGGUCCCCGGUUCAAUCCCUGGCAUAGUCA